AAAAAAGGUGGGCGGGGGCGGGGCUUUGUUGUCGUAGACUUGGCCAGAGUAAUUUUGUUUCCAUCCUAGAAUAUUAGACCAUUGGAGGUACAGUGAGGACCCUUAAUCCAUUUAAUCAGGACGAAUUCCGGUUUUUCCAUUGUUUGGUAUCCAUUAUCAAUUCCUAUCAUUUGGCCGACCGUUCUGGAAUUCUAUUCCUGUAUCCUGAAGUGGAAUUUAUCAUUAGAAUCUAUCGAAUCCGACAAUUUUAAUACAAUUUAAUUUGGUUGAUAUCUUACCUACAAACGGACCGACACGGGCUUUCCUCUAGAUUUAAUUUCUCGUCUCUAAUCUUCAUCUCCAAUCACUUGUUUGAACCUAACCACAGUUUGUUUGAUAUAAGUGUUAACUUUAAUAUAAUUUUAAUUUUUGUCUCUCGAUACCCACCACCUAUUAAUCAUCAAUCAGCAUCAGCACAGGGGAAUAGAGAGACACUUCUACUCCCCUAAUGUUAAGGAUGUUCAGCAAUGAAUUUAUACGCAGAGUAGUUAAAGUUAAAAGAAACGAUGGUGAAUCUCCUCCGAUUAUUUCCCGUCAAAAAGUUAUUGACUCAGUAAUUGCACGAUUACGUUACAUAAUUUUUCGUAGUCGUUAUUCUGAUGCAAGCAUUGCUCAAUUGCAUUGGAAAUAAUGAUUUGUUUUUUAAAUGUUCUAAAAAUGAGAAAGUUAAUUGCAAAUGACGUCAUUCCGUUAGUUUUAUUCCUUAUUUAGGCUACAUCCAGCAUACACCGUGCCUCUAGCCGUUAACUGUCAAAACUUCCUGCUUUAGCAAGUGUCAAUUUGUGUUUCAUUUUUAUUUGGCUUAUAAAAAUUUCUACUCUCUACUCUGGAUGCCGAUUGGCUGUCGAAUGCUCACUGUCGAAUGAUGGCGGACAUGAAAACGACUAGCAGCACUAGAUACCGUCAAAACUAAGGGAUGUAAGAAAUACUCUUCCCUCGAUCAUGGAUCCCCUUGGAAAAAUAAGGAAUCUAGCUACUACCUCUUAUUUUUAUCUCGUUCUCCAUCCAUUUAAAUUUUUAAAUUUUCUUUCUAGUUACGACGCGGCUGGAGAAACCAAGUGAUGUCCGGUCGACGGAAGCAAAGUUAGCAAAAUCAGAGUAUCGGAAUUACCAGCGGCAUCCGCUUGAUCCAGCGAACAGAGCAAAUGAACUACAUCCAAAUAAAGAGACUGGAUACUGAAAUGUAUGGUUUUAAACAAGCGUGUUGGCUAGAGCUAUUUGAUUCAACCUAUGGGAUUCACCAUGAUCAUUGUGGAAUCUGUCAUCACUUUCAGGUGCUGUGCUUCCAGAUAGCCAGGACCGAAGACAAGGGUCAAUCCUUUUACAGUCCAAAGUUGUAAUCAACAAGGCCAAACAGAUAGCAACAUGAUCGACCAGGUACGACAGGAAAGCAGCAUCAGCCUCCAGUUGAAAAGCUAGUCGCUGAUGGACUGAUUCAACAAGCAAAUCCAACAGCGACGCCCUAUGCAGUUGCUGCUGCCACGUCCUAUUCGGCACCAACCCCAUCCCAAAUCGCUAAUCUAAGUGUAGAAGCAUCGCCUCUAGUUUGACUGCCCAGCAGAUUCAGACGCUUAUCCCUUCACCAAGUCAUUCCUCAUCCAAGGAACGUGGAACUGCGAUCGUGGUUCCAGCAUUCUGCACAAGUUAGAAGAAAAGACAAAGCUACAAAGUCCAGCGUUCUGAGCAAGACGAAGCAAUGAAAUGUUUCACAGCGCAUCACAAACAACUUAGCUGAAGAUUCACAAGCGGAUACCAACGAUGGCAAAAGAAGAGCGUGAAGUAGGAAGAAAUUGCCUCAAACAAACUAAAAAAAGUGAAGAAGGUUUUGAUGUGCAGUUUCGUUAACAACAAAAAAAACCAAUGCAGACUUAUCCAAUCUACCUUGAAGACAAAAUGGAAAAGUCUUCCUUACAAGGGUGGAGAAAAACCGAAGCUACAAAUUAACACACCCAUUCUAUUUUGCUUCAUGUCAAGCUUUUAUAAAUUUUAAGUGUGAUUGAUAAAUAUUUAUGUAUUGUGUAAAAACUAAGUUGAAAAAUAAAACACAUGAAAACAUU